AUUGAACGCUGGCGGCAGGCCUAACACAUGCAAGUCGAACGAGUGGCGGAGGGGUGAGUAAUGUCUGGGAAACUGCCUGAUGGAGGGGGCUAACUACUGGAAACGGUAGCUAAUACCGCAUACCAUCAGAUGUGCCCAGAUGGGUUUAGGUUGUGGGUGGGGUAACGGCUCACCAGGGCGCCGAUCCCUAGCUGGUCUGAGAGGAUGACCAGCCACACUUGAACUGGGACACGGUCCAGACUCCUACGGGAGGCAGCAGUGGGGAAUAUUGCACAAUGGGCGCAAGCCUGAUGCAGCCAUGCCGCGUGUAGGAAGAAGGCCUUCGGGUUGUAAAGUACUUUCAGCGGGGAGGCGUUACCCGCAGAAGAAGCACCGGCUAACUCCGUGCCAGCAGCCGCGGUAAUUC
rnacentral:rRNA from 1 species